UGGGGAAUUUUGGACAAUGGGCGAAAGCCUGAUCCAGCAAUGCCGCGUGUGUGAAGAAGGCCUUCGGGUUGUAAAGCACUUUUGUCCGGAAAGAAAUCCUUGGCUCUAAUACAGUCGGGGGAUGACGGUACCGGAAGAAUAAGCACCGGCUAACUACGUGCCAGCAGCCGCGGUAAUACGUAGGGUGCAAGCGUUAAUCGGAAUUACUGGGCGUAAAGCGUGCGCAGGCGGUUUGCUAAGACCGAUGUGAAAUCCCCGGGCUCAACCUGGGGAACUGCAUUGGUGACUGGCAGGCUAGAGUAUGGCAGAGGGGGGUAGAAUUCCACGUGUAGCAGUGAAAUGCGUAGAGAUGUGGAGGAAUACCGAUGGCGAAGGCAGCCCCCUGGGCCAAUACUGACGCUCAUGCACGAAAGCGUGGGGAGCAAACAGGAUUAGAUACCCUGGUAGUCCACGCCCUAAACGAUGUCAACUGGUUGUUGGGUCUUAAUUGACUCAGUAACGAAGCUAACGCGUGAAGUUGACCGCCUGGGGAGUACGGCCGCAAGGUUGAAACUCAAAUGAAUUGACGGGGUC
rnacentral:rRNA from 1 species